GAUGAACGCUGGCGGCGUGCCUAAUACAUGCAAGUCGAGCGAACUGAUUAGAAGCUUGCUUCUAUGACGUUAGCGGCGGACGGGUGAGUAACACGUGGGCAACCUGCCUGUAAGACUGGGAUAACUUCGGGAAACCGAAGCUAAUACCGGAUAGAAUCUUCUUCUUCAUGGGAGAUGAUUGAAAGAUGGUUUCGGCUAACACUUACAGCUGGGCACGCGGUGCAUUAGCUAGUUGGUGAGGUAACGGCUCACCAAGGCAACGAUGCAUAGCCGACCUGAGAGGGUGAUCGGCCACACUGGGACUGAGACACGGCCCAGACUCCUACGGGAGGCAGCAGUAGGGAAUCUUCCGCAAUGGACGAAAGUCUGACGGAGCAACGCCGCGUGAGUGAUGAAGGCUUUCGGGUCGUAAAACUCUGUUGUUAGGGAAGAACAAGUACGAGAGUAACUGCUCGUACCUUGACGGUACCUAACCAGAAAGCCACGGCUAACUACGUGCCAGCCGCCGCGGUAA
rnacentral:rRNA from 1 species